UAGGUUUGCCCCAUUGUUUAUUUAGGGAUUAUUUAUACCUAUUUAAUUUUGAAAUUCAGAAUAUUGUGUACAUCAGUUCACUCCUUUAAUUAACUGCAUUUGACCAAAAGAUUUUAGUAAACUUAUAGAUGUGUCAAGGUUGCUGAUGAAAUGAUGGGAAGUAGUUGUUAACCUACAAGACAGAUGAACAGUUAUUGCUGGAGAACAUAAAAUCUCGUUUCUGAGUAAGGUAUUUGCUGAGGUUUGUAUCAGGAGUCCCCAACCUCCUCUGAAUGAAAAACUGUUUAAUUUCCCAGAAGCCAUUGAUGGGGGAAAUCAUUACUCAGGAAGGAUGCUUUAUGCAGUGCAGGAAACGAAUCAUAUCAUCUGAAAGUAACCAGAUGACAGAAGAAGGGCAGGAUGUGUGGCCUUUUGAAGAAGUCAGGAAAUCCUCUACACCAGAGAACCUGCCCCACACCCAUUAUCAUCUUUGACCAG
rnacentral:lncRNA from 1 species